AAGAAGAAGAAGAAGAAGAAGAAGAAUUUUCUUCCUUGUCUUCAGUGUUGUCAAGCAGAAAACGGGGUGAAGAGAUUAUAGCAGUAAUCCCAUGGGAUGAGUGGUGGGAUAUUUCUCUAAAGGAUAACUCUAAUCCACAAAUAGCUUUGCUUCCUUUACAUCCAGACGUGCGUGCAAAGUUCAAUAACACUGCAGCUUGGGAGUAUGCUCGGAGCAUGUCAGGCAAGCCAUAACAACAUGAUAUUUAGUUGGAUUGACACGAUAGCUGACAACUAUCCACCACCUCUUGAUGCUCACUUGGUCAUUUCUGU
rnacentral:misc_RNA from 1 species